rnacentral:rRNA from 1 species
UACGUAGGGGGCUAGCGUUGUCCGGAUUUAUUGGGCGUAAAGAGCUCGUAGGCGGUUCGGUAAGUCGGAUGUGAAAUCUCCACGCUCAACGUGGAGGGGCCAUUCGAUACUGCCGUGACUCGAGUCCGGUAGGGGAGUGUGGAAUUCCCGGUGUAGCGGUGAAAUGCGCAGAGAUCGGGAGGAACACCCGUAGCGAAGGCGGCACUCUGGGCCGGUACUGACGCUGAGGAGCGAAAGCGUGGGGAGCGAACAGG